AUCGCUUCUCAGCCUUUUGGCUAUGAUCAAGUGUAGUAUCUGUUCUUAUCAGUAAAAACACAGAUCCUACACUCCUGUGGGGAAUCUACAGGAUAACUCUCAGAAUGAAGAAGAGAUGUCGCAAGAUCACCACUGAGGGCCACCACAUGAGUGUGGUGGUUGUUUUGG
rnacentral:snRNA from 1 species